rnacentral:tRNA from 1 species
GAGGUUGUGGCUCAGUGGUAGAGCACUUGCCUGGCAUGUGUGAGGCACUGGGUUUGAUCCUCACUACUACA